UACGUAGGUGGCAAGCGUUGUCCGGAAUGACUGGGUGUAAAGGGAGCGUAGACGGUUGUUCAAGUCUGAAGUGAAAGCCCGCGGCUCAACUGCGGAACGGCUUUGGAAACUGUGUAACUGGAGUGCUGGAGAGGUAAGCGGAAUUCCUGGUGUAGCGGUGAAAUGCGUAGAGAUCAGGAGGAACACCGGCGGCGAAGGCGGCUUACUGGACAGUAACUGACGUUGAGGCUCGAAAGCGUGGGGAGCAAACAGG
rnacentral:rRNA from 1 species